rnacentral:rRNA from 1 species
AUCCGGGUUGCGGACAGUGUCUGGUGGGUAGUUUGACUGGGGCGGUCUCCUCCUAAAGAGUAACGGAGGAGCACGAAGGUUAGCUAAUCCUGGUCGGACAUCAGGAGGUUAGUGCAAAGGCAUAAGCUAGCUUGACUGCGAGAGUGACGGCUCGAGCAGGUGCGAAAGCAGGUCUUAGUGAUCCGGUGGUUCUGAAUGGAAGGGCCAUCGCUCAACGGAUAAAAGGUACUCCGGGGAUAACAGGCUGAUACCGCCCAAGAGUUCAUAUCGACGGCGGUGUUUGGCACCUCGAUGUCGGCUCAUCACAUCCUGGGGCUGAAGUAGGUCCCAAGGGUAUGGCUGUUCGCCAUUUAAAGUGGUACGCGAGCUGGGUUUAGAACGUCGUGAGACAGUUCGGUCCCUAUCUGCCGUGGGCGCUGGAGAAUUGAGGGGGGCUGCUCCUAGUACGAGAGGACCGGAGUGGACGCAUCACUGGUGUUCGGGUUGUCAUGCCAAUGGCAUUGCCCGGUAGCUAAAUGCGGAAGAGAUAAGUGCUGAAAGCAUCUAAGCACGAAACUUGCCCCGAGAUGAGUUCUCCCUGACCCUUUAAGGGUCCUGAAGGAACGUUGAAGACGACGACGUUGAUAGGUCGGGUGUGUAAGCGUAGCGAUACGUUGAGCUAACCGAUACUAAUGAACCGUGAGGCUUAACCUU